UCAGGAUGAACGCUGGCGGCGUGCCUAAUACAUGCAAGUCGAGCGAGAACUUGAUGAUGGAAGAUUCGUCUGAAAGAUCAAGGGAAAGCGGCGGACGGGUGAGUAACGCGUAGGCAACCUGCCCUUAGCAGAGGGAUAGCCAUUGGAAACGAUGAUUAAAACCUCAUAACGCUUUGGAGACACAUGUCUUUAAAGCCAAAGAUUUAUCGGCUAAGGAUGGGCCUGCGUCUGAUUAACUGGUUGGUGAGGUAACGGCUCACCAAGGUGACGAUCAGUGGCCGACCUGAGAGGGUGAUCGGCCACAUUGGAACUGAGACACGGUCCAAACUUCUACGGAAGGCAGCAGUAAGGAAUCUUGCACAAUGGGGGAAACCCUGAUGCAGCAACGCCGCGUGAACGAAGAAGGCCUUCGGGUUGUAAAGUUCUGAUCUUGGGGAAGAAGGAAGUGACGGUACCCAAGGAGAAAGCCCCGGCUAACUACGUGCCAGCAGCCGC
rnacentral:rRNA from 1 species